ACAUGGAGAAGCAGCAUUCGACUUCUCUGCACCACAAAUCUGGAACAGACGUCCAGAAAACUGAAACGGCUACAACACCUACUUCCUGAAAAUCAGGGAUGAUUUUCCUCUUGUCACUCUUCCAUUGAAGCCAGAUUUAUGGACAAUAAAAAUGUUCCUGUUAUCUACCUGA